AUCUAUGGCCAUGCCACCCUGAACAAGCCCGAUCCCAUCUGAUCUUGGAAGCUAAGCAGGGUCGGGCAUGGUUAGUACUUGGAUGGGAGACCACCUAGGAAGACCAGGUGCUGUAGUGU
rnacentral:rRNA from 1 species